rnacentral:rRNA from 1 species
AUGGCAUCGGCAGGGUUUAACGGGAGCGUCAUAGAUCCCACUGCUUCUCGCUGCAAACAGUUGGCGGCAUUCAGUUUCAUCAGGUCAUUGGUCACGACAAUUGUUGCGGUGAUAAGAAACCCAACUCACCCCCCACCUAGCCAGUUUGAGUGCCCAAACUGCAAAUACUGCAUUGAUAACAGUGAUGUUUUAUCAUUGUGGCCAGGACUCCCUGCAGGUGUUAAAUUUGAUCCAACUGAUCUCGAAUUGCUUGAACAUUUAGAAGGAAAGGUUGGCAGGGCACCGUCCCAUGACCUAAUAGAUGGUUUUAUUCCAACCAUAGAGGAGGCCGAAGGAAUCUGCUAUACACAUCCGGAAAAUCUCCCUGGUACCAAGAUGGAUGGGAGAAACAAUCAUUUCUUCCACAAAAUAUCAAAUGCGUACGAUGUUGGCCAGCGCAAGCGUCGCAAGAUUAGCAACAGUGACCACACUAUUUGUGAUGAGCAUUUUAGAUGGCACAAAACUGGAAAAUCCAAACAUAUCUUUGAUAAUAAUGGUGUCAUAAAAGGGUGGAAGAAAAUAUUGGUUCUUUCCAUGCGUUCUAGGAAAGGCCAAAAAACUAAUUGGACGAUGCAUCAGUAUCACCUUGGGGUAGAUCAAGAUGAAAACCAUGGGGAGCUUGUUGUUUCCAAAGUCUUUUAUCAGUCAAAGAAAGCUGGCAGCCUAUAA